rnacentral:rRNA from 1 species
UACGAAGGGGGCUAGCGUUGUUCGGAAUUACUGGGCGUAAAGCGCGCGCAGGCGGCCAUUCAAGUCAGGGGUUAAAGCCCAGAGCUCAACUCUGGAACUGCCCUUGAAACUGUAUGGCUCGAGUCCGGGAGAGGUGAGUGGAACUGCGAGUGUAGAGGUGAAAUUCGUAGAUAUUCGCAAGAACACCAGUGGCGAAGGCGGCUCACUGGCCCGGUACUGACGCUGAGGUGCGAAAGCGUGGGGAGCAAACAGG